rnacentral:rRNA from 1 species
UGGGGAAUAUUGCACAAUGGGCGCAAGCCUGAUGCAGCCAUGCCGCGUGUAUGAAGAAGGCCUUCGGGUUGUAAAGUACUUUCAGCGAGGAGGAAGGCGGUAAGGUUAAUAACCUUAUCGAUUGACGUUACUCGCAGAAGAAGCACCGGCUAACUCCGUGCCAGCAGCCGCGGUAAUACGGAGGGUGCAAGCGUUAAUCGGAAUUACUGGGCGUAAAGCGCACGCAGGCGGUCUGUCAAGUCGGAUGUGAAAUCCCCGGGCUCAACCUGGGAACUGCAUUCGAAACUGGCAGGCUAGAGUCUUGUAGAGGGGGUAGAAUUCCAGGUGUAGCGGUGAAAUGCGUAGAGAUCUGGAGGAAUACCGGUGGCGAAGGCGGCCCCCUGGACAAAGACUGACGCUCAGGUGCGAAAGCGUGGGGAGCAAACA